rfam:Triticum aestivum genome assembly, contig: Triticum_aestivum_CS42_TGACv1_scaffold_514691_6BS
UAAAUACUCCCUCCGUCUGGAAAUACUUGUCCUAGAAAUGGAUCAAAUGAAUGUAUCUAUAACUAAAAUAAGUCUAAAUACAAUCAUUUCUAGGACAAGUAUUUCCAUACAGAGGGAGUACAAG